AGCAGGGUGGUCUAGUGGAGAGAGCACGAGCCUUGGGAGUCAGCAGGACCUGGGUUCUAAUCCCAGCCCUGCCG
rnacentral:tRNA from 1 species